CCUACGGGUGGCAGCAGUGAGGAAUAUUGGUCAAUGGCCGAGAGCCUGAACCAGCCAAGUCGCGUGAGGGAUGACUGCCCUAUGGGUUGUAAACCUCUUUUGUCUGGGGGCAAUAAGCUUCACGAGUAGCGUGUUGAGAGUACCCUACGAAUAAGCAUCGGCUAACUCCGUGCCAGCAGCCGCGGUAAUACGGAGGAUGCGAGCGUUAUCCGGAUUUAUUGGGUUUAAAGGGUGCGUAGGCGGCUUUAUAAGUUAGUGGUAAAAUAUUGGGGCUUCACCUCCCUACGCCGUUAAUACUGUAGGGCUAGAGAGCAGGAGAGGUAGGCGGAAUAAGUUGAGUAGCGGUGAAAUGCAUAGAUAUAACGUAGAACACCGAUUGCGAAGGCAGCUUACCGGACUGAGACUGACGCUGAUGCACGAGAGCGUGGGUAGCGAACAGGAUUAGAUACCCCGGUAGUC
rnacentral:rRNA from 1 species